rnacentral:rRNA from 1 species
GAUGAACGCUGGCGGCGUGCCUAAUACAUGCAAGUCGAGCGAACGGACGAGAAGCUUGCUUCUCUGAUGUUGGCGGCGGACGGGUGAGUAACACGUGGAUAACCUACCUAUAAGACUGGGAUAACUUCGGGAAACCGGAGCUAAUACCGGAUAAUAUUUUGAACCGCAUGGUUCAAAAGUGAAAGACGGUCUUGCUGUCACUUAUAGAUGGAUCCGCGCUGCAUUAGCUAGUUGGUAAGGUAACGGCUUACCAAGGCAACGAUGCAUAGCCGACCUGAGAGGGAGAUCGGCCACACUGGAACUGAGACACGGUCCAGACUCCUACGGGAGGCAGCAGUAGGGAAUCUUCCGCAAUGGGCGAAAGCCUGACGGAGCAACGCCGCGUGAGUGAUGAAGGUCUUCGGAUCGUAAAACUCUGUUAUUAGGGAAGAACAUAUGUGUAAGUAACUGUGCACAUCUUGACGGUACCUAAUCAGAAAGCCACGGCUAACUACGUG